GUGCAGACCUCAGGUACAUUUCAGACCAUUCUAAAACAGUUUGACUGCUUACAUUGGGGGAUACCAAGGAACAGCUGGCAUCAUAACCACUAGUUGUUUGGUGAUUAUGGUGCUUGGAGGGCUACUUUAAUGAAAUACAAACAACAAAACAAAAACACACUGUAAGUAUGUUAAAAUAUGGUUAGUGUAAGCAGCUAAAAGACAGGAAGAGGAAGCUGGUGGGAGAAAUCUAGUAGAAUGUGAGAGGAAAACAAGAAAGAAAAAUCUGAAACUAUACUACCGGUAAUGUUGUAAAUGUCAUCCCGGAGCCAACUACAGGACAAGGUUAUAAUGUUGAGUCUGCCCUACACUUUCUGAAGGGCUUUCUAUGCCGUCAAGUUUAAAGUUGAUAUUUGUUUAUUGCAUGUGGAUAGAUACAAAAAUCAACCAGUAACUGUUGAGUUUUUCACAGCAAAGAUAAUAUGUUGAAAUUCUUACCAAAGUUUACAUGAAUGCCAUUUAGCCACUAGACAUUUCCUACAUUUUGCCAACUAUUACUUCUGUCUUAUCAUUUUUUAGGCAUGUGCAUGGGGAAAAUGUUCGGUUCGGUUCAGCAUUCCGAAAUUCGUGAUUUUCGCAAUUCGGGACUUCGGCAAUUCGGCACUUCAACACUUCAGAACUUCGGCAACUUCGGAACUUCGGCACUUGGAAAUUCGGCAACUUUGGC